AUUCAGAUGACGAGUCGCAAGUAGGACGAAAUGAGUAUCCUGGAU
rfam:Trichobilharzia regenti genome assembly, scaffold: TRE_scaffold0093835